rnacentral:rRNA from 1 species
AGCGAACGUUAGCGGCGGGCCUAACACAUGCAAGUCGAGCGAGAAAGUGGCUUCGGCCAUCAGUAAAGCGGCGGACGGGUGAGUAACACGUAGGUAAUCUUCCCUUGAGCGGGGGACAACGUUUCGAAAGGAACGCUAAUACCGCAUAAGUUUCCAGGAACUCUGGUUCUUGGAAGGAAAGCUAGGUCGCAAGAUCCGGCACUCGAGGAGGAGCCUGCGUCGCAUCAGCUAGUUGGUGGGGUAANGGCCUACCAAGGCGAAGACGCGUAGCUGGUCUGAGAGGAUGAUCAGCCACACUGGGACUGAGACACGGCCCAGACUCCUACGGGAGGCAGCAGUGGGGAAUAUUGGACAAUGGGCGCAAGCCUGAUCCAGCCACGCCGCGUGAGUGAUGAAGGCCUCGGU